UAGCCGCGUAAUACCAGCUCCCCGAGUGGUGGGGAUGAUUAUUGGGCCUAAAGCGUCCGUAGCCGGCUUGGCAAGUCUUCCGUUAAAAUUCGACGAUUUUAAAUCGUCGGACUGCGGGAGAUACUACCAAGCUAGGGGGCGGGAGAGGCCGGCGGUAGUCCCGGGGUAGGGGUGAAAUCCUAUAAUCCCGGGAGGACCACCAGUGGCGAAGGC
rnacentral:rRNA from 1 species